GCAGGGGUGGUUCAUUGGUAGAAUUGUCAUCUUCCAUGUGAGAGACUCAGAUUCGACCCCUGGUCGAUGCA
rnacentral:tRNA from 1 species